rnacentral:rRNA from 1 species
CCCUGCCAUUUGUACACACCGCCCGUCGCACCUACCGAUUGAAUGGUCCGGUGAAGCCUCGGGAUUGUGGCCAGUUCACUUUAUUGGGAGUUGGCUGCGAGAACUUGUCUAAACCUUAUCAUUUAGAGGAAGGU